UGUGGAAACUACAAGGUUGAUAUACAUCUGAAUGAAGAGAAAGCAAUUAGACAUCUCUAUAACAAAGGACAUAUAUAAAUCAUGGGCAAAGGUGAAGGCCAGGGAGAAGGGAAAGGUGGAGGAGGAGCUGGACUAUUAAAUGCUAUCCUGUGGUUCUUUAUCCUAGUGUUGCUGGCUUGGCCAAUAGCGUUCUUUGUUGCUUGGCUGUAUGUGUUACUGCUUCCUUUUGGGGCGUGCAUCAAAGUCUGUCACGAAGCCUGUGAUACACUACUUAAACUUGUCAGGUUGCCGUUUACUUGUGCCGAAAAUAUGAUUCAUAUGAAUUCCGUCUGCUGAGUUGACUAUUGCUUAAUAAAUCUUUUGAAGGAAAAUGACCUUCGGAUGAACAAGUUUGAAAUAAAUGGAUACACUGACCCACCAAGAAGAAUAUGUUGCUACUUUGACUAACAAAAAUGUAUGAAGUUAUGAAUAUGAAUUAAUUAUCGAUGCCAACUACAAAUAUUUACCUGCUUACUUUAAGUAAUCUGUGAAAUGUUUACACUGAAGGACGAAACAAUACAGUGAUCCGUGGAGCGUCUAGAUACUUUGGUACAACUUUCCCACGCACACAAUCAGACGUUUUAAGUCUGAAAGGAUUUAGCAGGGUCAAUCUCCAUACAGAGGAUUUGUUAAAAAAAGACUUUUUGAAAGACAAAUUUUUGUUGAAUGUUGAUUUUACGUUCAUUGUUUCUGUGUAUUUAAGUUCAUUACUUGUAAUAUACCUAAUUAAAACAGUAGUUUAUUUAG